rnacentral:rRNA from 1 species
UGGGGAAUUUUGUACAAUGGGGGAAACCCUGAUCCAGCCAUCCCGCGUGUGCGAUGAAGGCCUUCGGGUUGUAAAGCACUUUUGGCAGGAAAGAAACGUCAUGGGUUAAUACCCCGUGAAACUGACGGUACCUGCAGAAUAAGCACCGGCUAACUACGUGCCAGCAGCCGCGGUAAUACGUAGGGUGCAAGCGUUAAUCGGAAUUACUGGGCGUAAAGCGUGCGCAGGCGGUUCGGAAAGAAAGAUGUGAAAUCCCAGAGCUCAACUUUGGAACUGCAUUUUUAACUACCGGGCUAGAGUGUGUCAGAGGGAGGUGGAAUUCCGCGUGUAGCAGUGAAAUGCGUAGAUAUGCGGAGGAACACCGAUGGCGAAGGCAGCCUCCUGGGAUAACACUGGCGCUCAUGCACGAAAGCGUGGGGAGCAAACAGG